rnacentral:rRNA from 1 species
CUGGGGAAAGGCUUGCUGCCGAAGGAUCGGCCCGCGUCUGAUUAGCUGGUUGGUGAGGUUACGGCUCACCAAGGCGACGAUCAGUAGCUGGUCUGAGAGGAUGAUCAGCCACACUGGGACUGAGACACGGCCCAGACUCCUACGGGAGGCAGCAGUGGGGAAUAUUGGACAAUGGGGGCAACCCUGAUCCGGCCAUGCCGCGUGAGUGAUGAAGGCCUUCGGGUUGUAAAGCUCUUUUGCCAGGGACGAUGAUGACGGUACCUGGAGAAUAAGCCCCGGCUAACUUCGUGCUAGCCGCCGCGGUAAUC